AUUGAACGCUGGCGGCAUGCUUUACACAUGCAAGUCGAACGGUAACAGGCCUUCGGGUGCUGCCGAGUGGCGAACGGGUGCGUAAUGCAUCGGAACGUGCCCAGAGGUGGGGGAUAACGCAGCGAAAGCUGUGCUAAUACCGCAUGUGAUCUGAGGAUGAAAGCGGGGGACCAGGCAGCAAUGUUUGGCCUCGCGCCUUUGGAGCGGCCGAUGUCAGAUUAGGUAGUUGGUGGGGUAAAGGCCUACCAAGCCGACGAUCUGUAGCUGGUCUGAGAGGACGACCAGCCACACUGGGACUGAGACACGGCCCAGACUCCUACGGGAGGCAGCAGUGGGGAAUUUUGGACAAUGGGCGCAAGCCUGAUCCAGCAAUGCCGCGUGCGGGAAGAAGGCCUUCGGGUUGUAAACCGCUUUUGUACGGAACGAAAAGGCUCUGGCUAAUACCUGGGGCUGAUGACGGUACCGUAAGAAUAAGCACCGGCUAACUACGUG
rnacentral:rRNA from 1 species